rnacentral:rRNA from 1 species
UUCGCAAUGCCCGAAAGGGUGAACGAGCGACGCCGCGUGCGGGAUGAAGGGUUUCGGCUUGUAAACCGCUUUUCUUUGGGAAGAAGGUCUGUCUCGUGCAGAUGGGCUCGACGGUACCAGAGGAAUAAGCCUCGGCUAACUCCGUGCCAGCAGCCGCGGUAAGACGGAGGAGGCAAGCGUUAUUCGGAAUCACUGGGCUUAAAGCGCGUGUAGGCGGAUGGGAACGUCGGUCUUUGAAAGCCCCCGGCUCAACCGGGGAAGCGGAGCCGAAACGACCGGUCUGGAGGGACGUAGGGGGACCUGGAACUUCCGGUGGAGCGGUGAAAUGCGUUGAGAUCGGAAGGAACGCCCGUGGCGAAAGCGAGGUCCUGGACGUCUGCUGACGCUGAGACGCGAAAGCUAGGGGAGCAAACGGGAUUAGAUACCCCGGUAGUCCUAGCCGUAAACGAUGGGCACUAAGUAGAGGGGUUUU